GUCCACGCCCUAAACGAUCUUCACUAGCUUUUCGGAGUAUCGACCCUCUGAGAGGCGAAGCUAACGCGUUAAGUGAAGCGCCUGGGAAGUACGGCCGCAAGGCUAAAACUCAAAGGAAUAGACGGGGACUCGCACAAGCGGUGGAUUAUGUGGUUUAAUUCGUAGGUAAACGAAGAACCUUACCCAGGUUUGAAACCGAAAUGAAAGCUCUAAGAAACUAGAGCCCUCGCAAGACAUUUCGGCAGGUGAUGCAUGGCCGUCGU
rnacentral:rRNA from 1 species